rnacentral:piRNA from 1 species
UUAUAGCAGGAGAUUAAGGGUUGAG